CGGGGUGUAGCGCAGUUUGGUUAGCGCGCGUGUUUUGGGAACACGAGGUCGCCGGUUCGAGUCCGGCCACCCCGACCA
rnacentral:tRNA from 2 species